CAGCAGCCGCGGUAAUACGGAGGGUGCAAGCGUUAAUCGGAAUUACUGGGCGUAAAGCGCACGCAGGCGGUUUGUUAAGUCAGGUGUGAAAUCCCCGAGCUUAACUCGGGAACUGCAUUUGAAACUGGCAAGCUAGAGUCUUGUAGAGGGGGGUAGAAUUCCAGGUGUAGCUGUGAAAUGCGUAGAGAUCUGGAGGAAUACCGGUGGCGAAGGCGGCCCCCUGGACAAAGACUGACGCUCAGGUGCGAAAGCGUGGGGAGCAAACAGGAUUAGAUACCCCCGUAGCCCUGUCUCUUAUACC
rnacentral:rRNA from 1 species